rnacentral:lncRNA from 1 species
UUUUUAUGAGAUUUUGGGGUUGGGCUUGUUUUAAGAAAUUGAUGGCAGUUUUGUAAUUUAUAAGAAGUUAAAAGCUUUUUUGUUAUGUUGUAAAUGGGCUUUGGGUGUGUUUCUAAAGUCCAUUUUAUAUAGGGUAUUUUUAUAAUUUUGGCCCCCAUAUUGGGUAUAAUAGUGAAUCUCCCAAAUAAUAAACACCUUGCUUCUGAGUAGUUUUUUUAUUUAAAUUUUUUAUACUAUUUUGUUUUUUCGUUUUUCUUGAGUUUUUUUUACAAUAAUUUUUCAUAUGUAAUCUGAAAAUUAUGUGUAAAUGCUGUGGGAAAAUGCAAAUUAUCCUUUGAACAACUCAAAGGGUUUGGAAACAGUCAAUUUGGUAUGGGUCCAAAAUUGUUGAAGCGUGAGGUCCAACUUCUAAAAUAAUUAAUAAA